rnacentral:rRNA from 1 species
UACGUAGGGUGCAAGCGUUGUCCGGAAUUAUUGGGCGUAAAGAGCUCGUAGGCGGUUUGUUGCGUCGGCUGUGAAAUCCCGAGGCUCAACCUCGGGUCUGCAGUCGAUACGAGCAAACUAGAGUGUUGCAGGGGAGACUGGAAUUCCUGGUGUAGCGGUGAAAUGCGCAGAUAUCAGGAGGGACACCGGUGGCGAAGGCGGGUCUCUGGGCCGAUACUGACGCUGGAGGAGCGAAAGCGUUGGGGAGCGAA